rnacentral:lncRNA from 1 species
CUGUUUCAUUAGCACAAGGCAUGCUUACAACCAGAGUUCCAAAAAUGUAACACAAGAAACAGUAAAGGGCCCUGGACUCAAACUCCCUCUGUGCAAGUCCUGGCUGUGUUUCUUGCUACCGGCGUAAUGGUAGUGCUAUUUAAGCAGCAGUGCAUGUCUCCUCACAUUUGAAAAUAUUGAUUGGGUCUUGAAGACAGAAUAACAAGCGCCAGAACUCAAGCAUUUUGCCAGGAGUGGUGCUGCCUCAUCAGUACUUCAGAUCCAGGCAGGGAAACUGUCAGCAGAACUGCUCCAAAGUCUGCUUUGUGAAAUGCACAUAAGCGGUCUCCCAGACCCACUUUCCAUCCUUCUCCUUUCUGAGGAGGAGGUGGUUAGAAAAAAAAGAAGAAGACAACAAAAGAGUAGAUGAGAGAGAUGUGGCAAAAGAAGAGGCAGAAGAGAAGAGGCAAGAGAAGGAUUCUCCCACCCAUUGCUGUCUUUAGAGAUGCAGGCUAUGAGCCAAAAAGCACAGAUAGCUCCGGAAGCUGAGGACAAGCCACACUGCCCACACUCCCGCAACUGCCCAGAACUGAAUUUUGCCAAUUACCUGCAUAAAUCAGAAAAUGGAUGCUCACUAGAGUCUCCAGAAGGGAGCCUGGCUUGCUGACACCUAGAUUUUUGUCUUGUGAGACUGAUCAGAGGAAUUAUCCCAGCACACUUGACUUCUGAAAUUGUGAUAUAUCUAUGCCUGCAGAAACCCAUGACAUGCAGAAACUAUGAGUUAAUAAAUGAAUGUUGUUUUAAGCCAUCA